UCAUUCCCAAACGCAUCAAACUCUUUGAGUCCAUCUAGGCAGAGCAACGUGCUGCUCGACAGUCUCUCCCUUCUUUCGAUCCUAUCAGGAUUACAUUGUCGGACGGGAAGGUGAAGGAGGGCAAGAAGUGGAUAACUUCCCCAUUUGAAAUUGCAAGUGAGAUUUCAAAGAGUUUGGCUUCAAAUGCUUUGAUUUCUGAGGUCAAUGGGGUUAUAUGGGACAUGAACAGGCCUUUGGAGGGCGAUGCUGAGCUUAGGCUCUACACAUUGGACUCAUUCGACAACAAUGAGGAUGUACGCCACACUUUCUGGCAUUCUAGCUCCCACAUUCUUGG